ACUCAAUCCAAAACAUUUUGAGAUUUGUGGAAUAGUUGUGCUUGUAAAAACGCAUUCGGGUGUGAGAAACAGUGACCGGUCUGAUCAUCUACAAUGACUUGAUCUUGAAGUUAAAAGGUCUGGUUUUGUUCUUAACCAGGUGGGAAAAUGAGACUUCAAAGAAUUUGGGUGUGUAUGGGAAUCUCAAGCACGGCGUCUCUCCAGGGAAGGCCUGUUCCUGCAUGCUUUGAACGCUUGUCAAUUAAAGUCGAGGUCACAGAUCUAAUGGCGUAAUGAGAGGUGUCAGCAGGCAGGAAUGUCCAGACAUGUGAGCAGAGGUUACUUCAGGUCACUUUCUUCUGCCGGAGCGGUACGUCUUUAUACACGGCCUCCCAGAGGUCCCGUGGUUUUCUGGAGCGAUGGUUAACUGUGGGCGUAACUAUACCACACACACACAGUUUGAUGCGAUCAAACAGCAAGAACACAAAAGAAGACACUGUGAAGAACGCUGAUAACCAAACAACACAUGAACACAAAACCACCGAGACAUUUCUCGAAAUAUCUUCUCUUGUGUUCCACGGAGGAAAACCACGCGAAGACGAGUUUCAUUUCUGGCUAAACUGUCAGAAAACACACACGUGAUUUUCAGGCAUGUCGACUUGACCAAGUUCAUAUCACAGAACUUUCACUUCAGUGUGGUUUGGUUCAGUAAAAGAGUCGCACAGGAAUAGAAAGCACAGAACAGCCUGAAAUAUUUUCGACAGCGACGUGGCUAUUCAAAUAGUGUGGUAUGUGAGAGGGUGUGUGUGUGUGUGCGCUCAUGUUUUC